rnacentral:rRNA from 1 species
GCCAGACUCCUACGGGAGGCAGCAGUGGGGAAUAUUGGACAAUGGGGGGAACCCUGAUCCAGCGACGCCGCGUGAGUGAAGAAGUAUUUCGGUAUGUAAAGCUCUAUCAGCAGGGAAGAAAAUGACGGUACCUGACUAAGAAGCCCCGGCUAACUACGUGCCAGCAGUCGCGGUAAUACGUAGGGGGCAAGCGUUAUCCGGAUUUACUGGGUGUAAAGGGAGCGUAGACGGCAUGGCAAGUCAGAUGUGAAAGCCCGGGGCUCAACCCCGGGACUGCAUUGGAAACUGUCAGGCUAGAGUGUCGGAGAGGCAAGUGGAAUUCCUAGUGUAGCGGUGAAAUGCGUAGAUAUUAGGAGGAACACCAGUGGCGAAGGCGGCUUGCUGGACGAUGACUGACGUUGAGGCUCGAAAGCGUGGGGAGCAAACAGGAUUAGAUACCCGAGUAU